UUUCCCUACGGGAGGCAGCAGUGGGGAAUAUUGCACAAUGGGGGAAACCCUGAUGCAGCGACGCCGCGUGAGUGAGGAAGUAUUUCGGUAUGUAAAGCUCUAUCAGCAGGGAAGAAAAUGACGGUACCUGACUAAGAAGCCCCGGCUAACUACGUGCCAGCAGCCGCGGUAAUACGUAGGGGGCAAGCGUUAUCCGGAUUUACUGGGUGUAAAGGGAGCGUAGACGGCUAGUCAAGUCAGAAGUGAAAGCCCAGGGCCCAACCCUGGGACUGCUUUUGAAACUGAGUAGCUAGAGUGCAGGAGAG
rnacentral:rRNA from 1 species